AUGCGUUCAGCCCCAGGACUGGUUUGCAGCGAUCGACCUGAAAGACGCGUACUUUCAUGUCUCUAUCCUCCCUCGUCACAGACCGUUCCUGCGCUUUGCUUUCGAGGGUCAGGCAUGGCAGUACAAGGUCCUCCCCUUCGGGCUCUCCCUGUCCCCCCGUGUCUUCACGAAGGUCGCGGAGGGCGCCCUUGCCCCACUUUGGGAAGUGGGCAUCAGGAUCCUCAACUAUCUCGACGACUGGCUCAUUAUGGCCCGGUCCCGAGAAGAGUUGUGCGAUCACAGGGACUUCGUGCUUCGGCACCUCAGUCAGUUGGGGCUUCAGGUCAACCGAGAGAAGAGCAAGCUCUCCCCUGUGCAGAGAAUCUCUUAUCUCGGUAUGGAGUUAGACUCGGUGAGUAUGACGGCACGUCUCACCAGCGAGCGUGCCCACUCAGUGCUGAACUGCCUGAGUUCCUUCAGAGGCAGGACAGUGGUACCGCUGAAACACUUUCAGAGGCUCCUGGGGCAUAUGGCAUCCGCAGCCGCAGUCACGCCGCUCGGGUUGCUUCAUAUGAGACCACUUCAGCACUGGUUACACUCCCGAGUCCCGAGAUGGGCAUGGCGCCGCGGUACACAUCGUGUCACCAUCACACUGAUGUGUCGCCGCCUAUUCAGUCCUUGGUCGGACCUUGCCUUUCUACGGGCCGGUGUGCCCUUAGAACAAGUGUCCCGGCACGUUGUUGUCACAACAGAUGCCUCCAACUCGGGCUGGGGCGCGACAUGCAACGGGCAGGCAGCCUCAGGGUCCUGGACAGGACCUCGACUGCUUUGGCACAUCAACUGCCUGGAGUUGCUGGCAGUGCAUCUAGCUUUGCGACGGUUUCGUCCGCUAGUGCUGGACAAGCACGUGUUGGUCCGCACGGACAACACUGCGGCUGUUUCGUACAUCAACCGACAAGGCGGGUUACGAUCACGCCGCAUGUCUCAACUCGCCCGUCAUCUCCUCCUCUGGAGUCAGACAUGGCUCAAGUCGCUGCGCGCUGUCCACAUCCCGGGGGAGCUCAAUCGUGCAGCCGACGCGCUCUCACGACAGCUCACUUUCCCCGGGGAAUGGCGACUCCAUCCCCAGACGGUCCAGCUGAUUUGGAGUCGAUUCGGGGAAGCCCAGGUAGACCUGUUUGCUUCCCACGAGUCCUCCCACUGCCAGCUGUACUAUUCCCUGUCCCAGGCCCCCCUGGGCACAGAUGCACUGGCACACAGCUGGCCUCGGGCUUUACGCAAGUAUGCGUUUCCCCCAGUGAGCCUGCUCGCACAGACACUGUGCAAGGUCAGGGAGGACGAGGAACAGGUCCUGUUGGUUGCGCCUUACUGGCCCACCCGGACCUGGUUUUCGGAACUCAUGCUCCUCGUGACAGCCCCUCCCUGGCGCAUCCCCCUGAGGAGAGACCUUCUCUCUCAGGGGCUUGGCACCAUUUGGCACCCGCGUCCAGAUCUCUGGAACCUCCACGUGUGGCUUCUAGACGGGACGCGGCAGACCUCAGUGAUCUGCCCCCAGCGGGGGUAGACACUAUCACUCAGGCUAGAGCCCCUUCUACGAGGCAGGCCUAUGCUCUGAAGUGGAGUCUGUUCACGAAUUGGUGUUCUUCUCACCGAGAAGACCCCCGGAGAUGCCCGAUCAGAGUCAUGCUUUCUUUCCUGCAAGGUAGGCUGGAGCGUGGGCUGUCACCCUCCACCCUGAAGGUGUAUGUGGCUGCCAUUGCAGCACAUCACGAUGCAGUGGACGGCCGGUCCCUGGGGAGGCAUGACCUGAUCGUUAGGUUCCUGAGGGGUGCCAGAAGGUUACAUCCUUCUAGGACACCCCUGAUUCCCUCCUGGGACCUCUCUAUUGUCCUGGCGGGACUUCAGAGGGGUCCCUUUGAGCCGCUGGAUUCGGUUGAGCUGAAGUUCCUGUCUCUCAAGACAGCGCUCCUGAUCGCGCUCACUUCCAUCAAGAGGGUCGGGGACCUCCAAGCAUUUUCGGUAAGUGAAGAGUGCCUUGUGUUCGGGCCGGCCUACUCUCACGUUGUCCUGAGACCCCGGCCUGGAUACGUGCCCAAGGUUCCCACCACUCCCUUCCGAGACCAGGUGGUGAACCUGCAAGCGCUGCCCCUGGAGGAGGCAGAUCCAGCCUUGUCGUUGCUGUGUCCCGUAAGAGCGCUUCGCAUAUACGUGGACCGCACCCAGAGCUUCAGAAGCUCUGAGCAGCUCCUGGUCUGCUUUGGAGGUCAGCAGAAGGGGAAGGCUGUCUCUAAGCAGAGGUUGGCCCACUGGAUAGUGGACGCCAUCGCCUUGGCUUACCAUUCCCAAGGCGAGCCGUGCCCCCUGGGGGUGAGGGCCCACUCCACACGGAGUGUGGCCUCCUCCUAUGCGUUGGCGCACGGCGCCUCUCUGGCAGACGUUUGUCGAGCUGCGGGCUGGGCGACACCUAACACCUUUGCGAGGUUUUACAACCUCCGUGUAGAGCCAGUUUCCUCCCGUGUGUUGGGUAACAGGUAA
ensembl:lncRNA